rnacentral:rRNA from 1 species
UACGUAGGGGGCUAGCGUUGUCCGGAUUUAUUGGGCGUAAAGAGCGUGUAGGCGGCCUGGUAGGUCUGCUGUGAAAACUCGAGGCUCAACCUCGAGAUGUCGGCGGAAACCAUCUGGCUAGAGUCCGGAAGAGGAGAGUGGAAUUCCUGGUGUAGCGGUGAAAUGCGCAGAUAUCAGGAAGAACACCUAUGGCGAAGGCAGCUCUCUGGGACGGUACCGACGCUGAGACGCGAAAGCGUGGGGAGCGAACAGG